AGUGGAGUGGAUCGAAUCAUGCAGAUUCACAUUGGAUGGAGAUAUAUUGGGGUUACAAUCAUGUAGGAAGUCCUGGAGUGUGGAGCGUCAUCGGUCAAGACUCCCUCUCCUCCGUUUCGCUGAUAUUCCAGAGAUGACUUGUAACCGCUGGGAAAGUUGAAUAACUCAUUUGUCCAAAGUCUUCCUUUAUGCAUUGUGCAUUUAAAUGAACACCACCAUGUACUGCAGGUCAAUAAGUUUGACAGUUUUUCAUGCACUGUCGAGCUACCAAGAUUCAUUGCUUGUCUUUGAUUUAAAUGAACAUAGGCCAUGUUCACAGUUUCACUUUUUCAUCCACCAGUUUGUAUGUGUAUGUUGGUCGUUGAUUUAAACUAUGAGCAAAGCUUGUGUUUUGAUGUUGUAUACUUCUGUAACUACUAUAUGAUUUAUUUAUGCUACAAAAAGUUAAUUUGCUACAUAAUAACUAUUUCUCUUCU